CUUUACUCUCUCUCUCUCUCUCUCUCUCUGCAAACUCGUCUCUCCGUCCGUCUCCUCUCCGUGUAGGGCAUGCUUCCUCCAUAAAACUUCUCCUUUAGUUCCUCAUCGCCGGCGAGGAGGCAGCGGAGGCUGUUUGAUCACGCUAGAAUACCUUGAUUCUUUUUACCCUCCGAUCAUCGCCUUCGAUUCAAUUUACCGAUUCUAUCAUUAUAUAUAUAUAUAUUCUAUACGGUAAUCCAAUUUCAUAUAUCUAUAAUAUAUCCUUAUAUAUAUAUUUAAUCUCCGAUUGGCGAUGGAGGAUUGCGUUGCUAGUGACGAGGAGUACUAUUCCUCCGAUCGAGACUUGCUCGACGGUUUCGAUAAUGAGGAACCGGAUUUCCUGGGGGUUCUGCCUAGGGGACCCACCUCUAAGGUAAUUACGAAAGAGUCUCUCUUAGCUGCACAGAAAGAGGAUUUGCGAAGAGUAAUGGAUUUACUAUCUCUAAGAGAGCACCAUGCACGGACAUUACUGAUUCAUUAUCGUUGGGAUGUUGAGAAGUUGUUUGCUGUGCUUGUGGAUAAGGGGAAAACAUGUUUAUUUACUGAAGCAGGCGUUACUAUAGUUGAGCCUCUCGAUAUUGAAUUGCCUCUAUCUUCUUCUUCUUCCACAAUAACAUGUGAUAUAUGCAUGGAUGACGUAUCUGGUGAUAAGGUGACAAGAAUGGAUUGUGGUCAUUGCUUCUGCAACAACUGCUGGGCAAGGCAUUUUAUUGUGAAGAUAAAUGAGGGACAGAGCAAGCGGAUUAGGUGCAUGGCACACAAAUGCAAUGCUAUCUGUGAUGAGGCUAUUGUCAGAAAUCUAGUCGGUAAAGAGCAUCCGGUUCUAGCUGAGAAAUUUGAACGUUUCCUCCUCGAGUCUUAUAUUGAAGACAAUAAAAUGGUCAAAUGGUGUCCAAGUGCUCCUCAUUGUGGAAACGCAAUACGUGUUGAGGAUGAUGAAUCUUGUGAGGUAGAAUGUUCGUGUGGUUUACAGUUUUGUUUUGGUUGCUUAUCAGAAGCACACUCGCCUUGCUCAUGCUUGAUGUGGGAGCUUUGGGUGAAGAAGUGUCGAGAUGAAUCUGAAACAGUCAAUUGGAUGACAGUUCAUACAAAGCCUUGCCCUAAAUGUCACAAACCAGUAGAAAAGAACGGUGGCUGCAACCUUGUGAGCUGUAUCUGCGGACAAGCAUUUUGUUGGCUGUGUGGUGGAGCUACUGGUCGAGACCAUACUUGGUCAAGAAUAGCUGGUCACAGUUGUGGUCGUUACAAGGAAGACCGAGAGAAGCAAACUGCGAUGGCAAAGCGGGACCUCUAUCGCUAUAUGCACUAUCAUAACCGUUAUAAAGCUCACACAGAUUCUUUUAAGCUCGAAAAUAAACUUCGGGAGACAAUUCUAGGCAAAGUUUCAAUAUCGGAAGAAAGGGAAUCAAAACUCAAAGAUUUUAGCUGGGUAACUAAUGGGCUUUACAGGCUCUUCAGAUCAAGGCGGGUUCUUUCAUAUUCGUACCCAUUUGCAUAUUACAUGUUUGGGGAAGAGCUUUUUGCGGAUGAGAUGACAAAGGAGGAAAAGGAGAUAAAACAAAAUCUAUUUGAGGACCAGCAACAGCAGCUUGAGGAAAAUGUUGAGAAACUCUCCAAGUUUCUAGAGGAGCCCUUUGAUCAAUAUCCUGAUGAUAAAGUUAUGGAGAUAAGGAUGCAAGUCAUUAAUCUCUCUGCACUAGUAGAUAUGCUCUGUAAGAAAAUGUUUGAGUGCAUUGAGACUGACCUAUUGGGUCCACUCCAGCUUGGAAUUCACAAUAUAGCACCCUACAAGUCAAAGGGCAUUGAGAGAGCAUCAGAGCUUUCUUCGUGUUGGAGUACCAAACCCAAUAACAUUGAUAAUUAUCCACCAUCAGAUUUUGUCACUAGUGGUUAUACUCGUGGCUGACAUGUCCAGAAUACUUUACGUUGCAUUUUGGCAUGCCCCGGGCUGUCUCAAGAAUAAUAUUCUUGGUAUAGUAGGUUAUUGCUAACCCAAAAUACACUGGAGACUCUUCCCCAUUCAGCAAUUGAAGGUUUUUUUUCCCUUGUAUACGGCCUUCAGCCUCAGGCAGCUCAGAUGACAGUGAAUGCUCUUCUCAGAAACGUGCCAGAAAGGAGGGAGUUGCUAGCGGUUUUUUUGAUUUAAAUUUGCCAGCACAGGUUAUCAACCGGAACUGAUUUGCUGAAACAGUGGACUUAAUUUGCAUGUACAGUUCUAACCAUAGACCUGCCUUUUCUCUUGGGAGAGUGGUACCUAAUGAAUUAAAGCACUCCAGUGAUGUUAUUUUUACUUGUCUAUCCUCUUUUGUCCCAUUCCCGAGUCUCUCAUAUUGGGACACUGUUAAGAGUAUAAUUUUUUGAAUUCUAUGAUCUCUAGCUUCCAAAAUCUGUUUUGAAGCACUUAUAAUGUACAUAAUCUUUUAUGGGGCUUAUAUUUGUACAUCCUUCGCUCGAGAGUGGACAGCAUUUAGUACACCCUUCCUUUGGGUAAUUUUAUGUGGAGGGUUUUUUACUAUGGGUAAUUUUGUUGAUUUUAAUAAUACAAUUGGUAACUGAUUAAUUUGAUGUUA